rnacentral:rRNA from 1 species
GUGUCUGGUGGGUAGUUUGACUGGGGCGGUCUCCUCCUAAAGAGUAACGGAGGAGCACGAAGGUUGGCUAAUCCUGGUCGGACAUCAGGAGGUUAGUGCAAUGGCAUAAGCCAGCUUGACUGCGAGCGUGACGGCGCGAGCAGGUGCGAAAGCAGGUCAUAGUGAUCCGGUGGUUCUGAAUGGAAGGGCCAUCGCUCAACGGAUAAAAGGUACUCCGGGGAUAACAGGCUGAUACCGCCCAAGAGUUCAUAUCGACGGCGGUGUUUGGCACCUCGAUGUCGGCUCAUCACAUCCUGGGGCUGAAGUAGGUCCCAAGGGUAUGGCUGUUCGCCAUUUAAAGUGGUACGCGAGCUGGGUUUAGAACGUCGUGAGACAGUUCGGUCCCUAUCUGCCGUGGGCGCUGGAGAACUGAGGGGGGCUGCUCCUAGUACGAGAGGACCGGAGUGGACGCAUCACUGGUGUUCGGGUUGUCAUGCCAAUGGCACUGCCCGGUAGCUAAAUGCGGAAGAGAUAAGUGCUGAAAGCAUCUAAGCACGAAACUUGCCCCGAGAUGAGUUCUCCCUGAGACUUAAAGUCUCCUGAAGGAACGUUGAAGACGACGACGUUGAUAGGCCGGGUGUGUAAGCGCAGCGAUGCGUUGAGCUAACCGGUACUAAUGAACCGUGAGGCUUAACCCUACAACGCCGAAG